rnacentral:tRNA from 1 species
AAGAAGUAAUUAAGCUUUAGCUUUCACUUACACUGAAAAGAUGGAAAUUUUGUUAAAAAAAUUUUUUU